rnacentral:rRNA from 1 species
AACACGUAAUUCAUUACGAAGUUUAAUUCAUUGAGCAUCAAACUUUUAAAUUGAAGAGUUUGAUCAUGGCUCAGAUUGAACGCUGGCGGCAGGCCUAACACAUGCAAGUCGAACGGUAACAGGAAGCAGCUUGCUGCUUUGCUGACGAGUGGCGGACGGGUGAGUAAUGUCUGGGAAACUGCCUGAUGGAGGGGGAUAACUACUGGAAACGGUGGCUAAUACCGCAUAACGUCGCAAGACCAAAGAGGGGGACCUUCGGGCCUCUUGCCAUCAGAUGUGCCCAGAUGGGAUUAGCUUGUUGGUGAGGUAACGGCUCACCAAGGCGACGAUCCCUAGCUGGUCUGAGAGGAUGACCAGCCACACUGGAACUGAGACACGGUCCAGACUCCUACGGGAGGCAGCAGUGGGGAAUAUUGCACAAUGGGCGCAAGCCUGAUGCAGCCAUGCCGCGUGUAUGAAGAAGGCCUUCGGGUUGUAAAGUACUUUCAGCGGGGAGGAAGGUGUUGUGGUUAAUAACCGCAGCAAUUGACGUUACCCGCAGAAGAAGCACCGGCUAACUCCGUGCCAGCAGCCGCGGUAAUACGGAGGGUGCAAGCGUUAAUCGGAAUUACUGGGCGUAAAGCGCACGCAGGCGGUCUGUCAAGUCGGAUGUGAAAUCCCCGGGCUCAACCUGGGAACUGCAUUCGAAACUGGCAGNNNNNNNNNNNNNNNNNNNNGUAGCGGUGAAAUGCGUAGAGAUCUGGAGGAAUACCGGUGGCGAAGGCGGCCCCCUGGACAAAGACUGACGCUCAGGUGCGAAAGCGUGGGGAGCAAACAGGAUUAGAUACCCUGGUAGUCCACGCCGUAAACGAUGUCUACUUGGAGGUUGUGCCCUUGAGGCGUGGCUUCCGGAGCUAACGCGUUAAGUAGACCGCCUGGGGAGUACGGCCGCAAGGUUAAAACUCAAAUGAAUUGACGGGGGCCCGCACAAGCGGUGGAGCAUGUGGUUUAAUUCGAUGCAACGCGAAGAACCUUACCUGGUCUUGACAUCCACGGAAGUUUUCAGAGAUGAGAAUGUGCCUUCGGGAACCGUGAGACAGGUGCUGCAUGGCUGUCGUCAGCUCGUGUUGUGAAAUGUUGGGUUAAGUCCCGCAACGAGCGCAACCCUUAUCCUUUGUUGCCAGCGGUCCGGCCGGGAACUCAAAGGAGACUGCCAGUGAUAAACUGGAGGAAGGUGGGGAUGACGUCAAGUCAUCAUGGCCCUUACGACCAGGGCUACACACGUGCUACAAUGGCGCAUACAAAGAGAAGCGACCUCGCGAGAGCAAGCGGACCUCAUAAAGUGCGUCGUAGUCCGGAUUGGAGUCUGCAACUCGACUCCAUGAAGUCGGAAUCGCUAGUAAUCGUGGAUCAGAAUGCCACGGUGAAUACGUUCCCGGGCCUUGUACACACCGCCCGUCACACCAUGGGAGUGGGUUGCAAAAGAAGUAGGUAGCUUAACCUUCGGGAGGGCGCUUACCACUUUGUGAUUCAUGACUGGGGUGAAGUCGUAACAAGGUAACCGUAGGGGAACCUGCGGUUGGAUCACCUCCUUACCUUAAAGAAGCGUACUUUGCAGUGCUCACACAGAUUGUCUGAUGAAAA